CACGAGUACUUGUACUUGGUGGCGAGUGGCGAACGGGUGAGUAAUAUAUUGGAACGUACCGAGUAAUGGGGGAUAACUAUCCGAAAGGAUAGCUAAUACCGCAUACGCUUUGAGAAGGAAAGCAGGGGAUCUUCGGACCUUGCGUUAUUCGAGCGGCCAAUAACUGAUUAGCUAGUUGGUGGGGUAAGGGCCCACCAAGGCGACGAUCAGUAGCGGGUCUGAGAGGAUGAUCCGCCACACUGGGACUGAGACACGGCCCAGACUCCUACGGGAGGCAGCAGUGGGGAAUUUUGGACAAUGGGCGAAAGCCUGAUCCAGCCAUGCCGCGUGUCUGAAGAAGGCCUUCGGGUUGUAAAGGACUUUUGUUAGGGAAGAAAAGGUUGAUGCUAAUAUCAUUAACUGAUGACGGUACCUAAAGAAUAAGCACCGGCUAACUACGUGCCAGCAGCCGCGGUAAUACGUCUGUCUC
rnacentral:rRNA from 1 species